rnacentral:misc_RNA from 1 species
GGCAAUUUCGGGUUCAUAAUCCUUUUGGUUCAAAUUCAACUUUCAUUAUACUCAUAAUUGAUGCACUAUAAGUCCAUGAUGUUACUUUGUCAAGUUGCGCAAAAUAGUGUCAGUUCGCAUGAUAAACUGGCAUGUUUUAGAUUUUUCAUUAUAAAUUCUAAUAUCUGCUCAAACUAGUAAAAUUCAUCACUUUUAAAUUGUAUCUCCCAGUGCUGAAUACCUUAGGCCCUUGUGGUAGCUAACAGGUUUGAAUUCACAUGAGCACAAGUUGGUUGAUUUCUAUGUUGGCUGGUAGGUCAUCUCUACAAG